UGGUAUUUCAGGGAAAGUUUUUUGUAAAUUUAAUAAUUCAAGUUAUUUUAAUUUGUGAAGAAACAAUUAUAUAAAUUAAGGACAAGAAGACCCUAAGAAUUUAAGAAUUCUUAUGUUACUUAAAUAUAAAAUAGGAAUUCUUAGUUGGGGCAACUAAAAAA
rnacentral:rRNA from 1 species